GUUGUACAAUAAGGGUGCGUUUGGUUCGUGCUAUUUUUUUAAGAUUCCUAGUAAUCCAAUAGAAAUAAAAAAAUAUGACGGUGUUUGGCUAAAUGCACUAAGUAAUCUAGUUAGUAAUGCUAGAUUUACUUGGGAAUGAGAUGCAUCCCAAAGUACUAAUCUCGUUCCUUUGAGAAAUGGUGGGUAUCCUUAUAUUAAUAUAUUGGAGUAAUUAUAAUAUGUCUAAUAUCUUUUUUUCUUCCAACCCGUCGGCUAGUUGGUAUUAUUUUUCUUUACAGUCUAACCUCAUAUCUCUCUCUAGACUUAUCUUUUUUUUUUUUCUAAACUUCAGAUAUCUUUUUACUUCUAGUAAUCUUUUAUAGUGCGAACCAAACGCACCGUAAAAGUAAUACUCAACUAAAUAUUGUUAAGUCGUGUAGCAGAAAAAUCUCUAUAUCGAAUUCCUCCUUAGGCAGGAUCGAACUCUCCACGAGAUUCAUAAUUCAUAGUUGCAUUACUUAGAGAUUCCUCGUUCGUAGACAGAGCUGAUUCGAAAUUGUCUUUCAUUCAAA
rnacentral:lncRNA from 1 species